rnacentral:rRNA from 1 species
GUGGGGAAUCUUGCGCAAUGGGCGAAAGCCUGACGCAGCCAUGCCGCGUGAAUGAUGAAGGUCUUAGGAUUGUAAAAUUCUUUCACCGGGGACGAUAAUGACGGUACCCGGAGAAGAAGCCCCGGCUAACUUCGUGCCAGCAGCCGCGGUAAUACGAAGGGGGCUAGCGUUGCUCGGACUUACUGGGCGUAAAGGGCGCGUAGGCGGACAGUUUAGUCAGAGGUGAAAGCCCAGGGCUCAACCUUGGAAUUGCCUUUGAUAAUUGCUGUCUUGAGUACGGGAGAGGUGAGUGGAACUCCGCGUGUAGAGGUGAAAUUCGUAGAUAUUCGGAAGAACACCAGUGGCGAAGGCGACUCACUGGCCCGUUACUGACGCUGAGGCGCGAAAGCGUGGGGAGCAAACAGGAUUAGAAACCCUUGUAGUCC